rnacentral:rRNA from 1 species
UUAAAGGGCUGCAGUAAUUUGACUGUACAAAGGUAGCAUAAUCAUUAGUCAUUUAAUUGAUGACUUGUAUGAAAGAUUGGAUGAAAUAUAAACUGUCUCUUAAUUAUAAAUAGAAUUUAAUUUUUUAAUUAAAAAGUUAAAAUAAAUUAAAAAGACGAGAAGACCCUAUAGAGUUUUAUAAUUUUAAUAAUUAAGAUUAUUUAAAUAAAUUAAUUAAAAUUAUUAAAAUUAUUUUGUUGGGGUGACAGAAAAAUAAAUAUAACUUUUUUUAAAAAUUAAACAUAUAUAAAUGAAAAUUUGAUCCAAUAAUAUUGAUUAUAAGAAAAAAUUACCUUAGGGAUAACAGCGUAAUUUUUUUUUUUAGUUCAUAUAAAAAAAAGAGUUUGCGACCUCGAUGUUGGAUUAAGAUAAAAUUUAAAUGCAGAAG